rnacentral:rRNA from 1 species
AACAUGACUCUCGGCAACAGAUAUCUCGGCUCUCACCACAAUGAAGAAUGUAGCAAAAAUGCGAUACUUAGUGUGAAUUGCAGAAUCCCGUGAAUCAUCAAGUCUUUAAACGCAAGUUGCGCCCGAGGCUCUGGCUGAGGGCACGUCUGCUUGGGUGUCGUAC